rnacentral:misc_RNA from 1 species
GAUGAAGAACGGUAGUGAAAUGCGAAAAGUAAUGUGAAUUGCAGAAUUCAGUGAACCAUCGAAUCUUUGAACGCACAUUGCGCCCGCUGGAACUCCGGCGGGCACGCCUGUCCGAGCGUCAUUUCAACCCUCAGGCCCCCCUUCGCGGGCGGGCCUGGUGUUGGGGCCCGGCCGCUACCCUGCGGCCGUCCCCUAAAUUCAGUGGCGGCCUCGCCGUGACCCCUUGCGUAGUAAUGCACCUCGCACCGGAGAGCGCCGUGGCCACGCCGUAAAACCCCCAAUUUUCAAUGGUUGACCUCGGAUCAGGUGGGAAUACCCGCUGAACUUAAGCAUAUCAAUAAGCGGAGGA